UCGAUGUGAAGAGACACAUCAAUUGAUUGCCUCCUGCACACAGCACUGCUUGAGUUUCUCACAACAUGGUGGCUGGAUUCCCCCAGAAAGAGAUCCAAUGGACCAAGGCAAAAGCAGAAACGGCAUUCCUGACUUAGUCUCGGAAAUCAUCCGGUCACCUGCACGGUGCCCUUGGUCACAAACACCAGCUCCGAGUCGGUGUGGGAGGAGAGAACACAUGAGCAUGAACACCAGGAGAAAAGUGUUACUGCUGUGUUACGCUCUCGCUUGCAAAGUUCCCCCAGCCCAAAGUAACAGCUUCCUACCAGGGUCCUGCACAGCCAUGGCGGAGAGGUUCCUCUAGGAAGACGGGUGACUUAUUCUAAAUCUCCAAGGGACAGCUCCUUAGGUUGGAGGGUGGAAUGUGCCAGCGUGCUUGUUGACUAUGUCCCGUGCGAUGUCAUGUGAAAAAAGCUGGGGCUGAAGUCUGGCCUCUCCGGCCUGGCAGACACAAACCCCGCCACUCAGUGGGCCCCCUGGCCUGGGAGAUCUUGCGGCAGGAAGGGCUCCUCCAGACUUGAGCACGCAUUACCUGAGGAGGUGGACUGGCAGCAGGAGGGGGAGCGGGCGCAGGCUGUUGUGAAUUUUGUGCUGUGUGCCCGGUGCCUUCUGGAACCCGGGAUUACAACCUAGAAGCCUAGCAGUUUGGGAGAAUUCCUGCAGCAACUUUCAGUUUUUCAGGAAGCGCAAAAGUAAUUGUUUAUUCAAAAUGAAACCUCAAGGAUGACUUUUAGUUAGAAAAAAAAAUCUUGACUCGGUUUCCUCUUAAGAAAAUAAAUUCGUUAUUAUGGAACAAAUGUGUUUGCCUGUAAACAAAGUCUUUCAAAACAGACCUUUUAUGGGGACAGUCCUUUUAAAAGGGGUUUUCAGUGGGAAGUGGAAUAAAACAUACUGUCCUAGAGAAGUGUUUAAGGGGUGUAAUUUUCCCAAUUAUUUUCAUUAAAAACUGACAAACAGUAGCUAACCUCCCAUUAUACUCCGCAUCUAAUUCAUGGAAGUACUGGAGACUUGAAAAGACUGCCCCGGGAGAGGCCAUGGAAAGUUCCAGGCCUCUGCGUCCGCAGGGACUUCCUUGCGGAGUGUCCCGGAUCCGAGACCUUGCCUCUUGGCCGGGGCUGCAGGGAAUGGUAGCAACCAGUAGAGGCAGACCUUGCUGGGCUGGGAGCUGGGAGCACUGUCCUGGAGCCUGAGCCCCGUCCUGGAACCGAGGGCCCUAUCCUGGAGCCUGAGCCCCGUCCUGGAGCCGAGGGCCCUAUCCUGGAGCCUGAACCCUGUCCUGGAGCUGGGAGCCUGAGCCCCGUCCUGGAGCCUGAACCUCCUGGAGCCAGCCGAGGACCCUAUCCUGGAGCCUGAACCCCCUCCUGGAGCCGAGGGCCCUAUCCUGGAGCCUGAACCCCCUCCUGGAGCCGAGGGCCCUAUCCUGGAGCCUGAGCCCCGUCCUGGAGUGGCAGAUCCUCUAGAGCCCAGGCAGAGUGUGCACCUCACUUCCACGGGGUCGAGAAAUGUGGACAACAGCAUCUAUUACCAAUCUCCCUCAGUUCGUCGGCAAGAACAAGUGAGCUGUUUCAAUGGGCACAGAAGUGCAUUUGCUCAUUAAACCGGCAGCACUGCUCAGAGACCAAUCCUAUGCCGGUUGUGUGCUCAGUGCUGGGGUGUAAAAGUGAAGGAGACUCAUGGGCCCACAGUCAGGACUAUCCAAAACUGACGUAGGUAAAUCAUUCUGGGACAACAACCCAGCUGGGACCCGGGUUCCUCACCCUCCCGCCAGGGGUGUUGCACCCAAACUUUGCAAGGGACCCGUGUCUCCCUUCCAUAGGAUCCAAGAACCUUGGGUGCGGGACAGCCGCUCUGCCAGGGAAAUCCUGUAAGAAGCUAACAUCCAGCCCCAGACUGGAUGAUUCCAAGAAGUCUGACCACAUCCCACCAGCCACGUCUUUCCCAACCUCAUGUAUCAGCACCGUGACCAGACACGAUACACCUGUUUGCCUCUGUGGAUACGGUUGGGACCUUUUGUGACUUGGAGUGUAGCCCCAAGUGUAGUUGCUGGGACGGCUAAGAACCGAGGAGGCAUGAGGGAUGGUGCUAGGACUUAGGUUUUAGGACUUGGUGUUAAGCCCCAGUGCUUAGAUGGGGGAGGCCCAGAAAGUAGGGAAACGUCACACAAAAUCUUCCUGACUCUCAGUCCUAAGCAUCGCUGCUUCCAAUCCCAGGUGACACAGCAGAGCCCAGAGCACAGGAAGAGGCCCUCCCCUGCCUGACCAUGCUGCUCUGACCCCCGCAGCAGUGACAGCCCUGCGGCCGUCCACGUGGCCCCGCAGGAAGCAGGCCUGGCGGAGCCAGAGCAGGAGAAAGGAGCAGGCGAAUCUGCGAGGUUACAGCAGCGGGUGUGUGAGCAAGAAUGACACAUCCUGUUGGGGCCGCCCAGAAGUGGCUAGAGGACACAGAGGUCGAGUGGAGAUCUGUUGUUACCUCUAUAAUUUGGACAUCAAAGGAAAGGGGGCCUGAUUUCACGGAGUCCGGGAGGCCUGGACAUGCUGUAGCUGAACUGUAGUUGCAAUUAAUAGGCUAGUGUAUAAGUCACCUAGUCCACAGAGUAAUGGUAGCUUACAAUAAAACAAGGAGAAUAUUGCCAUUACCCAGACUGAGACACAGGCCAAAGAAUCUGUAUUAGGUUAUGCAAAAAGAGAAUAACACAGAACGUGGGAAGAAUGAAACUUGCUUCAUGGGUAGUUUUUUACCACAGUCCCAGCAUGUCUUUCCAAGAACUCGGGAGUGGAAAUAUGGAUGGAAAAUGAAUGGUGGACUUGUCUUGGGCAUUUCCACUCUACUUAAGACUGAGAAAAUGUCAGUACCCAUCCUAGGAUGAGGGGUGGAUGGACGUGGGUACUUUGGGACCACUGCUGAGCCCAGGGUAUCCUUAGCUUUUGAGCCAUUUCCAAACCAGUCCUGUCAACUCCCACAGGACACAUGGCUCCCUCUCCUCCAGGUAAGAGCCACCUGGGGUGCAGACGAUGGGUUGCACAUGUCAGAAGGUAUGGCUACAGCCCUGGAAAACCCCCCAGCCCUCUGGCACCCCACUGUGGGUUCCGAUGAGAAACACCUUCCAGCCAACUCUCUAUUGUGAGAGCAGCUUCCCUGAGAACAGAAGCAGGGAAGCACUCAGCGGCAGCCCAGCAUUGCCAUCCCAUACUGUUUGUCCACUUCCCUCUUGCAACUACGCUUUCUCUCUCAUCCUCCGGCAAUCGGCUGGUAAGUGACUUCCUCAGGAAAGCCUUCCCUGACUAGGCUAGCCUUUCGUUGCCCUCUUUACUUCCUCAUACGUACCAUUAGUUAAAAUUGAAAUAAUUGUGUACUGAACUACUGUAGGUAAUACGGACCAGGAACGUGCCCAUAUUGUUCACCAGUGGACCCUCGGUGCCUGGCACGUGGUAAAUAAAAAGUAUUUGUUGCAUGAAUGAAUGUUAACGACAUCUGCAGAGCUUCCCUACAUGUCCUAAGGCUUCAGCUAAUGCACUUGAUGUUUCACCUCAUUUG